CUUCCCCAUUCUCGGCUCUCUCUCUCUUCCUCUUUCUCUAUUUCCCCCAAAAUGAGAAAUCCCCAAAUUGAGAGCAAUCCCUAAUCUUUUUCUCUCUUCCGUCUCACCAUACCGUUCGACGCCUCUUCUCGGAUCUCACCACCAAAUCGACGCCGGUCACCAACACCGUGGCUCUCCUCACUCCAUGAUAUACCCGCCGUCGACUACACGCCGUCACCGCUUCACCAAUCGCCGCCGCUGCGCCGAAAACACUACUGCAGCAAGAGGAAAGGGCGGUAGCCGUCCCACCGUUGCUGCCACUGUUCAGACGAGUUAGUCUUCGCCAGUCACCGCCGUUGCUGUUUUCUCGACGGAAUCGCCGUUGCAGCUCGAGAGGGGGUGGUCACCGACCAGCUGUUGCUGCUGGCCGAUUCGUGGAGCAGCCCCCGUCCACCUAUCCUCUCAAUUUCCGUCGAUGACUGUUUGGCAGCCCCCGAAACAACCCCGAACAGCCCCGAAACCAACACGAAAAGAUAAGUUAUCUUUUACAAACUUAUGUUCUUUUCCUCAUUUUCGAUUAAUUACCGAGGGGUGUUCAGUUGUGGUGUUCAAUUGAGUUUGUUGCUGAUUUAAUAUUCGAUUGAUGUUUACUGUUGGAUUUGUUCAUGUGGGAGUCGAGUUUGGUAGAUUGCGUAUUCUACAAAAAUGAUAUGAAUGUUUGUGAAACAAGGAUGGAAGUGAGGAGUACCUUCUGUUGAAUAACUGGUGAAUAGGUUGAUUGAAAAAUCUGGCAGCUCCUCGACCUCUCGUGACUUGUGGUGGUGGAAGAUGGAAGAUCAUGUGUUACCUUUGGUUGUGAUGAAAGAUGGAAGAUCACCUGGAAGAUGGCAUUAGGGAAGGGGAAGGAUUGGGCUCAAAAUCUAUCUCCCACAUUUUAUUUAUUUGUUGAAGUUCAUAGGCCCAAAAUGUUUUAUUUUGUUGUAAAUAAAUCAAGCCCAAACUUAUUUAUUUACCAUAGAACUCUUCUAUUUUCCAUGGCCCAAAGCCAUCGUGAACCAACGUUUCAACUCUAAUUCAUCAUUUGAGAAUUCCAAGUGUAAUAUUAUUAUAUUGCAUUCUUGUUCACUAAUUAAAGUUCGUAAACCUUAA